UACGGAGGAUGCGAGCGUUAUCCGGAUUUAUUGGGUUUAAAGGGUGCGUAGGCGGGAUGCCAAGUCAGCGGUAAAAAUGCGGUGCUCAGCGCCGUCGAGCCGUUGAAACUGGCGUUCUUGAGUGGGCGAGAAGUAUGCGGAAUGCGUGGUGUAGCGGUGUAAUGCAUAGAUAUCACGCAGAACUCCGAUUGCGAAGGCAGCAUACCGGCGCCCUACUGACGCUGAGGCACGAAAGCGUGGGUAUCGAACAGG
rnacentral:rRNA from 1 species